UACGGGGGGGGGCAAGCGUUGUUCGGAAUUACUGGGCGUAAAGGGCUCGUAGGCGGCCAACUAAGUCGGAUGUGAAAUCCCCAAGCUUAACUUGGGAACUGCAUCCGAUACUGGAUGGCUUGAAUCCGGGAGAGGGAUGCAGAAUUCCAGGUGUAGCGGUGAAAUGCGUAGAUAUCUGGAGGAAUACCGGUGGCGAAGGCGGCAUCCUGGACCGGCAUUGACGCUGAUGAGCGAAAGCUAGGGGAGCAAACGGG
rnacentral:rRNA from 1 species